CCCGAAUUCAAACACUCAUAUGUGAAUUCCUCAACCAAAAGACCUUGUCUGAUUCGUCCCUGGAUCCGCAUUGCUUGCAGAUAAUAGAGAAAUGAAUAUGAAGCAGAGCCUCCUCCAUCACUUCACUUGUUCAACCUGUCACCCACUAGACCUUCAGCAAGUGUCCGGCCUGAGACACCCGCACUUAGCAAAAUGCUGUCAAGAGCACCCUUGGCGGGAGAUGACUGCUCACUCAUUAGUGCUGACUGCAGUGACUGAGAGGACAUGUGAAGUACAAUGAGAGCCCAUGAAGGGACGUUCCAAACAACAGGGUGUUGUCCAGGAAGGAGGGAACAGACAGAGUGUCCCAGGCAGACAGAGCACACCCCGGCAGCAGCAUGGUUUGGCUGAAGCAAAGGCUGCAAAGAGAGCGUCAGGCGAGGAGGCCAGAGGAAGAUGACAGGGCCAGUGAGAGGAACCUGACCAACUGGCUCAAGAACAUUUAUUUGCGGGAGACAGGAAGUCACUUUCAGGAUGAUGGCUAGAUAGCCCUGGAGCAGCAGUGGGGGGGGGGGUGCAGGGUGACACAGGCCAGAGGUUUGCACAAGACCGAGUCAGAAUUGUGAAACCAGAAGGCAGAUUCCCAAGGAGCCUAUACAAACC
rnacentral:lncRNA from 1 species